UCUGCCCGUCUCUUGUCAAGAUCAGCCCUACACAGACAGUAAUAAGCAGCAUAAAUAUGAAAAUGUGACCACACUGACCAAUCGUAAGGGUCUGCAAUAAUGAGAAAACGUUUAAUCAAAGGUAAACAAUACUUGUAGGUUUCCAUAAACUCCUGGGCGCUUUCUUCAAUGGCCUUAAAAUAGGCUUCGAUCCCUGCACCAGAAACAGAGGAUACUCCAACUGACUUUAAAUUCUUGUAAAACUCAUCCAGCGCAAGGGAGAGGCUGUUGGUUAAAGUCGAAGUAUAUGAGUGAUCCGAACUUAUUGCCGCCUGAAACACCUCAAAGUCUUGCAUCCACUGCAUACAAAGCAGAUUAGACAAUCCAAGAACCAAUGCUUACAUAUACUUCUAAAUCAAAAUCAAAGAAUGCACAAAACUUCAACUGUUAUUCAGAUUUUAGAAACAGCGUAAAAAGGCCUUUUAAAGGAUUAUAAUAAGUAUAUGCUAAUUAAAUAAAGUAUUCUUUUCAGUUAUCAUUGAGGGAGUGGUAAUAAUGGUGAAAGGUCAAAACCAAGAGAGAUGUCCUUCAAAAUGGGCUCCACGCUUGCAAAACAAUGAAAUAGAGGUUAGAGGUGAAGCUGGGGUACCUCGGCGUUCACACUAUGACGCUCAAGUUAGCAAACUCAAGCUUUUAUGGCAAAAAGAGCUGGCUAGCCAUUUGUAAAUUAGGGUUUAAGGUUAAAGGAAACCUAUUUUUUGGAGUGUGAGUGUUAAUGGUGAGUGAGAGACCUCUUGGAGAAUGAAACCUAGGCGCCUUUAUAUAUGGAGUACCUCAACUGCCAUGUGGCAUACCCUUUUUGGCUAACGUCCUUUUUUCUUUUUAUGAUUUUUGGGCCAUUAUGCGCAUGUUAGCGGCGUAUCUCAUCUUUUGGAAACGUGGCGCGCGCUGGAGAGUGUUCCAGGGUACCUCUGCAGUAGUUGUCGGGUAGGCGGUUGAGGACCACUGUCCUUGGGACAGUGUCCUUCACUUUUGGUAGAGGUGACAAGCGGCUGUCCCCCCUUUUAGCACGACAUUUUUGACUCAUAAUUCUGACAAAAUCGAAUAAUAUCUUUUAAGAGAUGGAAACGUUUCUCAUAGCAGAUAUUUUUGGAGGAUUCUCUUGCAUCCGAUCAGCCGGGUUCCUCUAAUUGUGCGGGGUACCUCUAUUUGCGCAGGGUACCUUGAAUCAUGCCAGGUACCUCAGAUUAUGCGGGGUACCUUAGAUUGUGUGGGGCACCUCUAAUUGUGUGGGAUACCUCUAUUUGCGCAAGGUAUCUUGAAUCAUGCCGGGUAUCUGAGGUACCCGGCAUGAUUCAAGGUACCUGCUGUACCGUACAUCCGCCUUGGCCGUACAGCAGGCUAUUCGGCUGUUUCCUUUUGAGAAUUGUAUGAGCUGGAGGUGUGAUUGUGUUACCAUUUCAUUUUUCUAUUCUGCUUUGGAUGAAUGUAAUCAUUGGCUUUGAUGUUUGGGAAUGGCCCUCUCUGCCCCUCUUCCCUAUUCUUUUUUGAAAGAAAAUUGGAUUGUGCUUCUUAAUUAGUCUAUUUGAAUUUCAGCGUGUGGUUUCAAUUCCUUGUAAAUGACUCUAUGGGAUUUCAAUUUGAUGUUUAGGGGACUUGAUAAGUAUGGAGCCUCCAUGUCGGGUGUAGCAAAUGUUUUAAUUGGUUAAUUCGGUUGCACCGUUCAUUCCUUGUGAGGGUAUCUCAUAUCUUUGAACAGUACGUGUGAUAUUUUAUUGGAUUUGGAAAGCUGCUGUACCGUACAUCCGCCUUGGCCGUACAGCAGAUUCUUUUCUAAUUCAAGAUAAGAGGUAUUUCAGACAUUUCACUAACUUUCAAAUAACUCCAUUAAAAAUAACGGUCAAAUUAACGAAAUUAGGUGCGCGGUGAAAAAUAUCAAAAAGUUUGGGCGCACAGUGAAAAAUGUUGAAAGAUUUGAGGGUUAGGUGGAAAUAACCCUUCUAUAAGGCUCUCAAGAACUUAUUCGCAGAUGAAGAAUCUGUAACCCGCUCGCCAAAUUUGGACGCUGCCUCGCCAUCUUUUUGUAACGAUUGAACGCAUAAGCAUGGUGACGUGUCAUGCAAAGAGAAAUACAUACAAAUAUACAUGGGAAUGGGAUGUCUUGUUAUCAACACCAUUUACCUAUUAGCAAUGAAGAGCAUGGCAAAGCAAAAUCCCACUGGGGUUCAAAAUUCCCCUCAAUUGCCACAAAUUAAAGAGUAUGGCAAACCAUUAAAUACACACAUAGGCAAUCAUGAAAACACAUGGCAUGAAUUCAUUGGAUGGUCCAUGGCUCGAGCUCUUCUACUCUAGUUCAUGGUUUCUCUUGGCUGGACCAUCCCACCUAUGUCUUUCUCAUGAAGUGUAACUUCAUCCUCAUCCUCAUCGAUAACAUCUUCCUCUUCGCUAAGUCUCUCAAAAUCAUCAUCCUCAUCUAUAUCUUCUUCUUGUACUUCAUCUUCAUCCAUCAUGGCAGCCCUAAUCCUAGCUUCUCUGUCCUUCAGACCAGUGUUCAAGACCACCGUGUCUCCCUUGGACUUCUCCAUAUCCUUCCUCAGUUUGUUUAUGUUCUCCUUCUGGCGUUCUUCCUCCAAACGCUGCUUCUCUGCCCGUCUCUUGUCAAGAUCAGCCCUACACAGACAGUAAUAAGCAGCAUAAAUAUGAAAAUGUGACCACACUGACCAAUCGUAAGGGUCUGCAAUAAUGAGAAAACGUUUAAUCAAAGGUAAACAAUACUUGUAGGUUUCCAUAAACUCCUGGGCGCUUUCUUCAAUGGCCUUAAAAUAGGCUUCGAUCCCUGCACCAGAAACAGAGGAUACUCCAACUGACUUUAAAUUCUUGUAAAACUCAUC
rnacentral:lncRNA from 1 species